CUUCCCAUCAGAUCAGGGCAGCUUCCAUGUUCCACUUCCUGCUGAAGAAAAGCAAGAUGCUACAUCUACACUGUCAUACAGGUCUUAAGAUGACUGCUGGAGUCCAUCGGUGUCUCAGUCAUUGGGCAAAAAGCUGGAUACAACCUGGACCAAAGUCUAAUACAAAAAUAAGGGCAACUUAGUCGCAGCUUAACCUCACAUGCAAGUUGAUGGACUGAUGGAAGAAGUUGAAGUACCUGGAGAAGAUCCACAGAUGAACAUGAAAAAUAUGCAAACGCCCCAGAGAAGACGCCACCAGCCAUCAUCAUCAUUUGAAGCGGCCACCUUCUAGCUAGUGUGCGAGGCAACAGCGGCAACUACUGGAGCAACCUCUCAGAAAGCUAUUCUCCAAAAACGAAGCAGAUUGGCAAACAUUUCAUUUCAAGCAUGUCCAAGAAGCAGAAUUAUCAUAGAAUGCUCCAUCCGAUUCUUUUAACGGGCUUCAUUUGCUAAUCCACAUCUUUAUGUACUCAUCAAAAAAA